GGUAGCUGGACAGUUUUGCUUGGAUCUCUGGGCGGCCACGUGGCCAUACAUUCAGUGCUUUGAGAUGCCUAUGCCCUGAGCCAGCCAGAAAGGGACUUACAGCUGAAAACAGGAUUUGAAUGACUUAGGUUCUGUAUAAACAGUGAGAAUUUCUGGGAAAUGUACAUAAGGCCAGACUGUCGGGAAAGG
ensembl:misc_RNA